UGGGGAAUCUUGCGCAAUGGGCGAAAGCCUGACGCAGCGACGCCGCGUGGGCGAAGAAGGCCUUCGGGUUGUAAAUCCCUGUUGGGGAGAACGAACCGUACGGGGGCGAAUACCCUCCGUGCCUGACGGUACUCCUUUAGCAAGCAUCGGCUAACUCUGUGCCAGCAGCCGCGGUAAUACAGAGGUCUCAAGCGUUGUUCGGAAUCACUGGGCGUAAAGGGUGCGUAGGUGGCGUGGAAAGUCGGAUGUGAAAUCCGGGGGCUCAACCCCCGAAUAGCAUCCGAUACUACCGCGCUAGAGAACUGAAGGGGGGUCUGGAAUUCUCGGUGUAGCAGUGAAAUGCGUAGAUAUCGAGAGGAACACUAGUGGCGAAGGCGAGACCCUGGGCAGUAUCUGACACUGCGGCACGAAGGCUAGGGUAGCGAACG
rnacentral:rRNA from 1 species